rnacentral:rRNA from 1 species
UAUAGUUUUUAUUUUUUUCUGUCAGAACAGGUCAUAAAGCUAAGCUCACUGAAGCUAAGCAGGGCUGAGCCUGGUCAGUACCUGGAUGGGAGACCACAUGGGAAAUCUAUAGGUGGCUGUUGGAA